rnacentral:rRNA from 1 species
CAGUCGCCGCGGGAAUACAGAGGGUGCGAGCGUUAAUCGGAUUUACUGGGCGUAAAGCGUGCGUAGGCGGCUUUUUAAGUCCGUUGUGAAAGCCCUGGGCUCAACCUGGGAAUUGCAGUGGAUACUGGGUCACUAGAGUGUGGUAGAGGAUAGUGGAAUUUCCGGUGUAGCAGUGAAAUGCGUAGAGAUCGGAAGGAACAUCUGUGGCGAAGGCGACUAUCUGGGCCAACACUGACACUGAGGCACGAAAGCGUGGGGAGCAAACAGGAUUAGAUACCCCUGUAGUCCCUGUCUCUUAUAC